rnacentral:lncRNA from 1 species
ACUGAAUUCCCGCGGUCGUGCGAUUCGAAGCGUUAUCUGCUCGAUGUCGAUUGAGUCCUGCCAUUUUCGAGCGUUUGUCGUGCGUUUUGAUCGAAUGUCAAAAAGCCGACAUCUUGUGUAUGCAGAAAUCUUGGCAGGCGUUGAUUAAAAUUAAUGACAGAUAAUUUUUCGUGGAUUUCCAACGUGCUUGUGAAAAAUUGUACUCAUUAUAUCAUUUUUUAAAAGCUGGAAAUCUAUGUUCCAGAUUCAGGAGUUUGACGGAACUAACAAGCCGAACAAAUGAAUGAGAUGUUUGAAAAUUGCUGGUUUUGCCCCUUGAGAUCACCAAGAAUGAAGCAAAGACUCGAGCAAAGACGAGUUCCGAACCUGGCAUCUCAAUGUGGACAAUAAUUAUCUAAAUAUAAGUCGAUUUGAAUAGAAUAAUAAAAUGUGCAUGUUUGCUAA